rnacentral:rRNA from 1 species
UACGUAGGGGGCAGGCGUUGUCCGGAUUUAUUGGGCGUAAAGAGCGUGUAGGCGGCUUGGUAGGUCCGCUGUGAAAACUCGAGGCUCAACCUCGAGAUGUCGGCGGAAACCACUUGGCUAGAGUCCGGAAGAGGAGAGUGGAAUUCCCGGUGUAGCGGUGAAAUGCGCAGAUAUCGGGAAGAACACCUAUGGCGAAGGCAGCUCUCUGGGACGGUACUGACGCUGAGACGCGAAAGCGUGGGGAGCGAACAGG